rnacentral:lncRNA from 1 species
CGAUAAAGAACAAGAGCAUGAUGUGAGUCUUUUUUGGUGAUGAUGAGAAACACCGCAUACCAGAAACGUAAAGAAAAUACAUAGAUGUUGAAGGCUCAAUGUAAAAAUAUGGGAAAAAACGAAAACAUCUUGAAAGUUAUAAUGUUCAAAAAUAUAAAAAAAAUUAAAAGAAAAUUUUGACGCUGAAACCGUAAAUCUU